rnacentral:rRNA from 1 species
UACGUAGGGUGCGAGCGUUAAUCGGAAUUACUGGGCGUAAAGCGUGCGCAGGCGGUUCGUGAAGUCCGAUGUGAAAGCCCUGGGCUCAACCUAGGAACUGCAUUGGAAACUGGCGGGCUAGAGUGUGGCAGAGGGGGGUGGAAUUCCUGGUGUAGCAGUGAAAUGCGUAGAGAUCAGGAGGAACACCGAUGGCGAAGGCAGCCCCCUGGGCUAACACUGACGCUCAGGCACGAAAGCGUGGGGAGCAAACAGG